AUGAAUCAAUAUAUUCUAAGGUUUGUAUCACUGUGGUGGACUUUUGGUGGAGGAACCAGACUGGAUGUUGGAAGUGAUGUCCGUCCCACCCUGACGGUGCUGCCCCCCUCCAGCGAGGAGCUGCAGCAGGGGAAGGCCACGCUCAUGUGUCUGGCCAACGAUGGCUUCCCCUCAGACUGGAGUCUGGCCUGGAAGGUGGACGGCAGCAGCAGCAGCAGCUUGGAGCAGAGCAGGAGCCCCGGGGUGCUGCAGAAGGACGGCCGCUACAGCUGGAGCAGCACCCUGAGGCUCCCUGCAGACCAGUGGAGGAAGGUGGUCUCUGUGACCUGUGAGGCCACCCAGGGCUCCCAGACUCCAGUCUCAGAGACACUGAGGAGAGACCAGUGUUCCCAGUCCUGA